AAACCUUGAGGAAAAGCUCAAGGAGGACAAUAUUUGCUAGCGGUGGGCUUGGACUGUUACAAAAAUAGAAUUUAUAGGUCCGGCCACACCCUCACGGGGAAGAGAAAGACAAGCUGAGUAAUACACUUUCUAGUUUCUAUUAAUGGUUCUCAUCUAUGAUGCCAAAUACUAAAUAUUGGGAAAUUUUGUUAGCAUAAUAAGAUGAUUCUUUCAAUUGCUUAAUGUUUUUUCACCACAUGCUACCUUUUGUUUCAUUCUUAUUACAAACUCUCAGCUCUUAUUCAGAUCACGAAACUGGAAAAAGACGAGAUGAUGUAAGUGCGAGCGAGCUGAUGAUGAUCCGUGAUGAGACGAUGAAUGCAAUUAAAAGACUCGGCUGAACGAUGUCGUAAUCCUGGGAAAUCCAGUAAACUCUGAGUUUCUAACUAGGUUCUCGUCAGGGAAUAGCGGUUCAGGAAAGGAAAUUGGGUUCCUGGUAUUGGCAUCUGCCUCAACUGAAACCUUGUAAGUUCUACUCGUGUUCUUUCUGUCUCAUGAAUAUUUUUCCGUUUUUGAACUUAGUUUCUGAAUGUGUGAAUAUUGAGCGGUAGAAGUAAGGAGAUUUGAACGUCUGACUUCGAAGUCCGAAAAAAAUGCAAGUUGACAUCA